rnacentral:rRNA from 1 species
UACGUAGGGUGCGAGCGUUAAUCGGAAUUACUGGGCGUAAAGCGUGCGCAGGCGGUUCGUUGUGUCUGAUGUGAAAGCCCCGGGCUCAACCUGGGAAUGGCAUUGGAAGCUGGCGAGCUAGAGUGUGGCAGAGGGGGGUGGAAUUCCGCGUGUAGCAGUGAAAUGCGUAGAGAUGCGGAGGAACACCGAUGGCGAAGGCAGCCCCCUGGGCUGACACUGACGCUCAGGCACGAAAGCGUGGGGAGCAAACAGG